ACACUUCUGAAUCUUUGCCGAGAUUUCGUCAGAUACCAGAGCAUCAGGACCGAUGAAACUCCCGAAAUAGAUGAGUUG
rnacentral:pre_miRNA from 1 species